rnacentral:rRNA from 1 species
UACGUAGGGUGCAAGCGUUGUCCGGAAUUAUUGGGCGUAAAGAGCUCGUAGGCGGUCUGUCACGUCGGCUGUGAAAACCCGAGGCUCAACCUCGGGCCUGCAGUCGAUACGGGCAAACUAGAGUACUGCAGGGGAGACUGGAAUUCCUGGUGUAGCGGUGAAAUGCGCAGAUAUCAGGAGGAACACCUGCGGCGAAGGCGGGUUGCUGGGCUGACACUGACGCUGAUGCGCGAAAGCCAGGGGAGCGAACGGG